rnacentral:rRNA from 1 species
AGUGAACGCUGGCGGUAGGCCUAACACAUGCAAGUCGAGCGCAGGAAAUCGACGGAACCCUUCGGGGGGAAGUCGACGGAAUGAGCGGCGGACGGGUGAGUAACACGUAAAGAACCUGCCCUCAGGUCUGGGAUAACCACGAGAAAUCGGGGCUAAUACCGGAGGGGUCAUCGGACCGCAUGGUCCGAGGAUGAAAGGCGCUUCGGCGUCGCCUGGGCAUGGCUUUGCGGGUCAUUAGCUAGUUGGUGGGGUAAUGGCCCACCAAGGCGACGAUGCAUAGCCGACCGGAGCGAGUGAUCGGCCGCACGGGAGCUGAGACACGGCCAGACUCCUACGGGAGGCAGCAGUAGGGAAUCUUCCACAAUGGACGAAAGUCUGAUGGAGCAACACCGCGUGAACGAUGAAGGCCUUCGGGUCGUAAAGUUCUGUUGUAAGUGAAGAACAAGUGCCGCAGGCAAUGGCGGCACCUUGACGGUACCUUGCGAGAAAGCCACGGCUAACUACGUGCCAGCCGCCGCAGUAA